rnacentral:lncRNA from 1 species
GCGAUAGGGGUAUGUGCAAGGACUGCAAGGUUAUUCCGGGAGAGUCCUUUUCGACUCUUCAUGACUCCUUGUGAUGGAUGUCGGUCUCUGGGUGAAGAGGAAGAGGAGGGGUGCUCGCAGACAACCGCGGAUUAGAUGGGGGUGUUUUGACUAAGGAGAAAACUUAGGAGUUGGAGAGGAGGUUAGCUGAGGGCGGAGCUUGGAGAAGUUCUGGGGAAGCGGACGCU